rnacentral:rRNA from 1 species
CAGUCGAACGGCAGCACGGGUGCUUGCACCUGGUGGCGAGUGGCGAACGCCCUGAGAUAAUACAUCGGAACGUACCUUAUCGUGGGGGAUAACGCAGCGAAAGCUGUGCUAAUACCGCAUACGCCCUGAGGGGGAAAGCGGGGGAUCGCAAGACCUCGCGCGAUUAGAGCGGCCGAUGCCUGAUUAGCUAGUUGGUGGGGUAAAAGCCCACCAAGGCGACGAUCAGUAGCUGGUCUGAGAGGACGAUCAGCCACACUGGGACUGAGACACGGCCCAGACUCCUACGGGAGGCAGCAGUGGGGAAUUCUGGACAAUGGGGGCAACCCUGAUCCAGCAAUGCCGCGUGAGUGAAGAAGGCCUUCGGGUUGUAAAGCUCUUUUGUCAGGGAAGAAACACCGGCUCUAACACAGUCCGGGAAUGACGGUACCUGAAGAAUAAGCACCGGCUAACUACGUGCCAGCAGCCGCGGUAAUACGUAGGGUGCGAGCGUUAAUCGGAAUUACUGGGCGUAAAGCGUGCGCAGGCGGUUAUACAAGACAGGCGUGAAAUCCCCGGGCUUAACCUGGGAAUGGCGCCUGUGACUGUAUAGCUAGAGUGUGUCAGAGGGGGGUAGAAUUCCACGUGUAGCAGUGAAAUGCGUAGAUAUGUGGAGGAAUACCAAUGGCGAAGGCAGCCCCCUGGGAUAACACUGACGCUCAUGCACGAAAGCGUGGGGAGCAAACAGGAUUAGAUACCCUGGUAGUCCACGCCCUAAACGAUGCUGACUAGUUGUUCGGGAUUUACAUCCUGAGUAACGUAGCUAACGCGUGAAGUCAGCCGCCUGGGGAGUACGGUCGCAAGAUUAAAACUCAAAGGGAAUUGACGGG